rnacentral:rRNA from 1 species
GCAUAUCAAUAAGCGGAGGAAAAGAAACCAACAGGGAUUGCCCUAGUAACGGCGAGUGAAGCGGCAACAGCUCAAAUUUGAAAUCUGGCCCUAGGCCCGAGUUGUAAUUUGCAGAGGAUGCUUUUGGUGAGGUGCUUACCGAGUCCCCUGGAAUGGGGCGCCACAGAGGGUGAGAGCCCCGUAUGGUUUGACGCCGAGCCUCUGUAAAGCUCCUUCGACGAGUCGAGUAGUUUGGGAAUGCUGCUCUAAAUGGGAGGUAAAUUUCUUCUAAAGCUAAAUACCGGCCAGAGACCGAUAGCGCACAAGUAGAGUGAUCGAAAGAUGAAAAGCACUUUGAAAAGAGGGUUAAAUAGCACGUGAAAUUGUUGAAAGGGAAGCGCUCGUGACCAGACUUGCGCCGGGCGGAUCAUCCAGCGUUCUCGCUGGUGCACUCCGCCCGGCUCAGGCCAGCAUCGGUUUUCGCCGGGGGACAAAAGCUUCGGGAACGUAGCUCCUCUCGGGGAGUGUUAUAGCCCGUUGCAUAAUACCCCGGCGGGGACCGAGGACCGCGCUUCGGCAAGGAUGCUGGCGUAAUGGUCAUCAGCGACCCGUCUUGAAACACGGACCGAGGAGUCAAGCAUUAGUGCGAGUGUUUGGGUGUAAAACCCGCACGCGUAAUGAAAGUGAACGUAGGUGAGAGCUUCGGCGCAUCAUCGACCGAUCCUGAUGUUUUCGGAUGGAUUUGAGUAGGAGCAUUAACGCUUGGACCCGAAAGAUGGUGAACUAUACUUGAAUAGGGUGAAGCCAGAGGAAACUCUGGUGGAGGCUCGCAGCGGUUCUGACGUGCAAAUCGAUCGUCAAAUUUGAGUAUAGGGGCGAAAGACUAAUCGAACCAUCUAGUAGCUGGUUACCGCCGA